rnacentral:rRNA from 1 species
UUAUGGCUCAGGACGAACGCUGGCGGCGUGCCUAACACAUGCAAGUCGAACGAGAAUCUCUGGAACGAGACUUCGGUCAAGGGAAGGAGAGGACAGUGGCGGACGGGUGAGUAACGCGUGAGCAACCUGCCCUUCAGAGGGGGACAACAGCUGGAAACGGCUGCUAAUACCGCAUAACAUAUCUGUAAGGCAUCUUAUAGAUAUCAAAGAUUUAUCGCUGAAGGAUGGGCUCGCGUCUGAUUAGCUUGUUGGUGGGGUAAUGGCCUACCAAGGCGACGAUCAGUAGCCGGACUGAGAGGUUGAACGGCCACAUUGGGACUGAGAUACGGCCCAGACUCCUACGGGAGGCAGCAGUGGGGAAUAUUGGGCAAUGGGGGGCCAACCCUGACCCAGCAACGCCGCGUGAAGGAAGAAGGCUUUCGGGUUGUAAACUUCUUUGACGAGGGACGAAUGAUGACGGUACCUCGAAAACAAGCCACGGCUAACUACGUGCCAGCCGCUGC